GUGCACCAGGCGCGAACCUUCGCAAUGCGGGAAACCGCGACGAGGGGACUCCCAGUGCCUACGCUCAGCGUAGGCUGUUCCCGAGCCUAGAAAGCUCGGGGAGUAAGGGCUGGGUAAGACGGGUGCCAGCCGCCGCGGUAAUACCGCAGCCCGAGUGGUGGCCACUAUUAUUGGGCCUAAAGCGUCCGUAGCCGGCCCGGUAAAUGCCUGGGUAAAUCGUGAGGCCUAACCUCACGAAUUCCGGGUAGACUGCCGGGCUAGGGGACCGGAGGAGGGAGAGGGUACUCCAGGGGUAGGGUGAAAUCCUGUAAUCCCUGGAGGACCACCGGUGGCGAAGGCGCUCUCCUAGGACGGGUCCGACGGUGAGGGACGAAAGCCAGGGGAGCGAACCGGAUUAGAUA
rnacentral:rRNA from 1 species